AGUGAGGAAUAUUGGGCAAUGGGCGAAAGCCUGACCCAGCCAUACCGCGUGCAGGAUGACGGCCCUAUGGGUUGUAAACUGCUUUUGUACGGGAAGAAAAAACUCUACGUGUAGAGAACUGACGGUACCGUACGAAUAAGGAUCGGCUAACUCCGUGCCAGCAGCCGCGGUAAUACGGAGGAUCCAGGCGUUAUCCGGAUUUAUUAGGUUUAAAGGGUACGUAGGCGGAAGAAUAAGUCAGUGGUGAAAUCCUGCAGCUCAACUGUAGAACUGCCAUUGAAACUAUUUUUCUUGAGUAUAGUUGAGGUGGGCGGAAUGUGUCAUGUAGCGGCGAAAUGCUUAGAUAUGACACAGAACACCGAUUGCGUAGGCAGCUCACUAAACUAUCACUGACGCUGAGGUACGAAAGCGUGGGGAGCGAACAGGAUUAGAUACCCUGGUAGUCCACGCUGUAAACGAUGAUUACUCGUUGUGUGCGAUAUAUUGUACGCGACUGAACGAAAGUAUUAAGUAAUCCACCUGGGGAGUACGUCGGCAACGAUGAAACUCAAAGGAAUUGACGGGGGCCCGCACAAGCGGAGGAACAUGUGGUUUAAUUCGAUGAUACGCGAGGAACCUUACCUGGACUUAAAUGCAAAACGACCGGUGCCGAAAGGUGCUUUCCCUUCGGGGCGGAUUGCAAGGUGCUGCAUGGUUGUCGUCAGCUCGUGCCGUGAGGUGUCGGGUUAAGUCCCAUAACGAGCGCAACCCCUAUUGUUAGUUGCUAACAGGUAAUGCUGAGGACUCUAACGAAACUGCCGGUGUAAACCGUGAGGAAGGUGGGGAUGACGUCAAAUCAGCACGGCCCUUACGUCCAGGGCUACACACGUGUUACAAUGGCCGAUACAGUGGGCAGCUACUUGGCAACAAGAUGCUAAUCUCCAAAGUCGGUCUCAGUUCGGAUCGAAGUCUGCAACUCGACUUCGUGAAGUUGGAUUCGCUAGUAAUCGUAUAUCAGCAAUGAUACGGUGAAUACGUUCCCGGGCCUUGUACACACCGCCCGUCAAGCCAUGGAAGCUGGGGGUACCUGAAGUCUGUAACCGUAAGGAGCGGCCUAGGGUAAAACUAGUAACUGGGGCU
rnacentral:rRNA from 1 species